GUCGGGAUAGCUCAGUGUAAGCAGAGACUGAAAU
rnacentral:tRNA from 1 species